GCCCGGGUGGCGAAAUGGCAGACGCAACGGACUUAAAAUCCGUUUCCCUUGUGGAGUGUGGGUUCGAGUCCCACCCCGGGUACCA
rnacentral:tRNA from 2 species